rnacentral:lncRNA from 1 species
CCCUGUUUUGAGGGAUCAUCUCAGGCACUAACUUCCCGAAGACAAUAGAUGUGCAUCUUCAAAUGCAGCAUCCUGUGCCAGGUGCCUUGCGCUGGGUCCAGAAUGUGGAUGGUGUGUUCAAGAGGAUUUCAUUUCAGGUGGAUCAAGAAGUGAACGUUGUGAUAUUGUUUCCAAUUUAAUAAGCAAAGGCUGCUCAGUUGAUUCAAUAGAAUACCCAUCUGUGCAUGUUAAAAUACCCACUGAAAAUGAAAUUAAUACCCAGGUGACACCAGGAGAAGUGUCUAUCCAGCUGCG